rnacentral:misc_RNA from 1 species
CCACAUUUGAGCAGGCUUCAGUUAAUAAUGCCGGCGAGUAAAAUUUCAAGCUAGCAUCUGAAGGUUGGCAAGCUGAAGAGAUGAAAGACUGAGCCAUAAUUCUCAGAAAAUCCGACCAAUAUAAGAAUAAAUUCCGCAAACCAUAUAUCUUGGGCUUAGUUCUUCCAUUAACUUUAGUCAGGAAAGUUUUGAACGUCCUCCAUCUCUCUUAAAGAUGCUGGUUCUUCUCUCGUGCUUCUCUUCUCAGACCUUAAAGGCCUUUUCUCACUUUGCUUCUCCUCCAUAUACUUUGACGGUACUUUUGCCUUGGAGUUCAUAGGAGCUUGCUCUAAUAGGUGAGCUUCAUCAUUGCUGCUUCCAUCAUUACUGAAUGGCUUCUCACAG